rnacentral:piRNA from 1 species
UACUGUGUCCAACAGGUACCCUCAACAAU